rnacentral:rRNA from 1 species
GACGAACGCUGGCGGCGUGCUUAACACAUGCAAGUCGAACGGUAAGGCCCUUCGGGGUACACGAGUGGCGAACGGGUGAGUAACACGUGGGUGAUCUGCCCUGCACUUCGGGAUAAGCCUGGGAAACUGGGUCUAAUACCGGGUAGGACCACUGCCUGCAUGGGUGGUGGUGGAAAGCUUUUGCGGUGUGGGAUGGGCCCGCGGCCUAUCAGCUUGUUGGUGGGGUGAUGGCCUACCAAGGCGACGACGGGUAGCCGGCCUGAGAGGGGGACCGGCCACACUGGGACUGAGAUACGGCCCAGACUCCUACGGGAGGAAGCAGUGGGGAAUAUUGCACAAUGGGCGCAAGCCUGAUGCAGCGACGCCGCGUGAGGGAUGACGGCCUUCGGGUUGUAAACCUCUUUCAGCACCGACGAAGCGCAAGUGACGGUAGGUGCAGAAGAAGGACCGGCCAACUACGUGCCAGCAGCCGCCGUAA